GCCCUUGACCAGGAAAUGAACCCACAACCCUCUGGUGUGCAGGUCAAUGAUAUAACCACUGAGCGACACCCGCCAGCACAUGUUUACUGCCUAUUAAUAAAGAACUCAGUAGAAGUAAUUGGGGCAGGCACUGCUGUAAUACAGUUCAGUAUCUAGCUCCAUACUGACCUGACCUGACUUGAGCCCAAAGCCCAAGGUAAGUAUUUUAGAACUGCUGUCCAAAAGCACCUUCUGCAGAAAUGAAAAUGUCAUAUAUCUGGGCUGUCCUGUCCCAUACAACAGCCUCUUGCGGCUCCUGACCGCUAGAAAUGUGGGGGCUUCGAAGGAAAGUUUCCUGGGAGAGAACCACAGAAAAGAUGGUCUCUUUCUUCUUCUCUCCAGGGUUACAAAUGGCAGUGAGGCCUGAAAAUCCUGGACUCAUCUCAAAACCAGCUGAAGGAUGAAGCCAACAAACAGGAGGGAAGAGCCAAAAGCACAGGGGAACUGAGCUAAAUGUGCAUUAUGUCCUCUUCCUCGGCGCUGCCUACGGAGGUGGCAGCCAUCUCCUAAUCGGCACCAUGGCUGCCCUGAGACCCCUCGUGAAACCCAAGAUUGUCGAAAAGAGGACCAAGAAGUCCAUCCGCAUCAGUCAGGCCCAUAUGUCAAAAUUAAGCGGAACUGGCAGAAACCCAGAGGCAUUGACAACAGGGUGCGGAGAAGAUUCAAGGGCCAGAUCCUGAUGCCCAACAUUGGCUAUGGGAGCAACAAGAAAACAAAGUACAUGCUGCCCAGUGGCUUUCGGAAGCGUCUGGUCCCUAAGGUCAAGGAGCUUGAAGUGCUGCUGAUGCGCAACAAGUCUUACUGUGCUGAGAUGGCUCACAGCGUCUCCUCAAAGAACCACAGAGCCAUUGUGGGAAGAGCAGUCCCGCUGGCCCUCAGAGUCACCGAUCCCAAUGCCAGGCUGCGCAGCGAAGAAAAGGAAUAGACAGGUGGUGUGCACAUUGUAUUUGUGUUAAUAAAGCCAUAAAAUUCGGCC